AUUGCACUCGGCUCCUUGACCCAAGUGCCAGGAACGGGCGGUUGUGAGACAGCUCAGUGACUUCAGGCCGAAGCCACGCUCCUGACAGGGCUCGCUUUAGCCGCUUGGAGGCCCCCAUCCUGGGCGAGCUGGGUCUGUUGUUGGGCUCCGGCUACUUCGGGGAUCCGGCGGCAGAUGGAACCAUCAGCUUCUCCCCUGCCCGGGCAACGCAGCCACGAGGCUAUCCUCAUGCAGUGGAGCGUGCAUGGUGUCAUGUUUCGGUUUCACUUCCUGCUGUUGCCUGUGUGAGCAAGGCAAUUCUCUGUGCGCUCUGCCCUCUUCCCUUCUCGUGCUCUACUGUGGAUUGCACCCACGGGGCCUAAUUGAGGUGCUGCUGGGUUCAAUGUGCAGCAGUAGGCACGUCAAGGGCCAGUAUCCCGGCAAAGCCCCAGCUCUGGGAGCACCCCAACAGCAGCACUGUGGAGAGAUGAGUGGGAGGAGAUGGGGAAGCGGCAGGAGAGGAGGAGGAGAUGGAGGAUGGAGGAGAUUCAAUUGUGGAGAUUUUCUGACCCAACAGAUCCCAUGGGUCCUCGACUUGGCCCGAGAGGACUGCAGAAUUGCCGCUGUUACUACCGUUCCAAAACAGAUGCUGUUCGGUCAAUAUGUAGUAGCGCAACGUGUGAGAAGGAAGGCAAGAAACUGGCAAGGUUCCUAAGAUCCAACCAUUGCUAAUUCCCGAGUUGCUGCCAGGGGAGACUCAUACUUAGCUCUCGAGAUCGACGAGGAGAAGGGCGAGGAGAAGCAGCCCAGACUAGGCAACCUCUCCAAGUGACUGAAGAAGACCAAGAAAAACCACUAGAGCAGAGAGCCAGAUACAUUGACUGUCCUCAUUGUUGCCUCGUAUCUACACCA